AACGAACGCUGGCGGCAGGCCUAACACAUGCAAGUCGAACGUGAAGCCACCUUCGGGUGGCGGAAAGUGGCAGACGGGUGAGUAACGCGUGGGAACGUGCCUUUCGGUUCGGAAUAACCCAGGGAAACUCGGACUAAUACCGGAUACGCCCUACGGGGGAAAGAUUCAUUGCCGAAAGAUCGGCCCGCGUCGGAUUAGCUAGUUGGUGGGGUAAUGGCCUACCAAGGCGACGAUCCGUAGCUGGUCUGAGAGGAUGAUCAGCCACACUGGGACGGAGACACGGCCCAGACUCCUACGGGAGGCAGCAGUGGGGAAUAUUGCACAAUGGGCGAAAGCCUGAUGCAGCCAUGCCGCGUGGGUGAAGAAGGCCCUAGGGUUGUAAACCCCUUUCAGCGGGGAAGAUAAUGACGGUACCCGCAGAAGAAGUCCCGGCUAACUCCGUGCCAGCCGCCGCCGUAA
rnacentral:rRNA from 1 species